GAUGAACGCUGGCGGCGUGCCUAAUACAUGCCAGUCGAGCGAACAGACGAGGAGCUUGCUCCUCUGACGUUAGCGGCGGACGGGUGAGUAAAACGUGGAUAACCUACCUAUAAGACUGGGAUAACUUCGGGAAACCGGAGCUAAUACCGGAUAAUAUAUUGAACCGCAUGGUUCAAUAGUGAAAGACGGUUUUGCUGUCACUUAUAGAUGGAUCCGCGCCGCAUUAGCUAGUUGGUAAGGUAACGGCUUACCAAGGCAACGAUGCGUAGCCGACCUGAGAGGGUGAUCGGCCACACUGGAACUGAGACACGGUCCAGACUCCUACGGGAGGCAGCAGUAGGGAAUCUUCCGCAAUGGGCGAAAGCCUGACGGAGCAACGCCGCGUGAGUGAUGAAGGUCUUCGGAUCGUAAAACUCUGUUAUUAGGGAAGAACAAAUGUGUAAGUAACUAUGCACGUCUUGACGGUACCUAAUCAGAAAGCCACGGCUAACUACGUG
rnacentral:rRNA from 1 species